GACGAACGCUGGCGGCGUGCUUAACACAUGCAAGUCGAACGGAAAGGCCCUGCUUGCAGGGUACUCGAGUGGCGAACGGGUGAGUAACACGUGGGUGAUCUGCCCUGCACUUCGGGAUAAGCUUGGGAAACUGGGUCUAAUACCGGAUAGGAACCAUCCUUAGUGUGGUGGUUGGAAAGUUUUUUCGGUGUAGGAUGAGCUCGCGGCCUAUCAGCUUGUUGGUGGGGUAAUGGCCUACCAAGGCGGCGACGGGUAGCCGGCCUGAGAGGGUGUACGGCCACAUUGGGACUGAGAUACGGCCCAGACUCCUACGGGAGGCAGCAGUGGGGAAUAUUGCACAAUGGGCGCAAGCCUGAUGCAGCGACGCCGCGUGGGGGAUGAAGGCCUUCGGGUUGUAAACUCCUUUCGCUAGGGACGAAGCUUUGUUGUGACGGUACCUAGAUAAGAAGCACCGGCUAACUACGUA
rnacentral:rRNA from 1 species